UACAGAGGGGGCGAGCGUUGUUCGGAAUUACUGGGCGUAAAGGGCGCGUAGGCGGCCCGCUAAGUCGAACGUGAAAUCCCCAGGCUCAACCUGGGAACUGCGUCCGAUACUGGCAGGCUUGAAUCCGGGAGAGGGAUGUGGAAUUCCAGGUGUAGCGGUGAAAUGCGUAGAUAUCAGGAGGAACACCGGUGGCGAAGGCGGGUCUCUGGGCCGAUACUGACGCUGAGGAGCGAAAGCGUGGGGAGCGAACAGG
rnacentral:rRNA from 1 species